rnacentral:tRNA from 1 species
GCAUCAGUGGUUUAGUGGUAAAAUCCAUCGUUGCCAUUCUCUGGAUAGAUUCGAUGGGCCCCGUGUUCGAUUCACGGCUGAUGCA